UACGAAGGGUGCAAGCGUUAUCCGGAUUCAUUGGGUUUAAAGGGUGCGUAGGCGGGGCGUUAAGUCAGUGGUGAAAUCCUGCAGCUUAACUGUAGAAUUGCCAUUGAUACUGGCGCUCUUGAGUACGCUUGACGUGGGCGGAAUGUGCCGUGUAGCGGUGAAAUGCUUAGAUAUGGCACAGAACACCGAUCGCGAAGGCAGCUCACGAAGGCGAAACUGACGCUGAGGCACGAAAGCGUGGGGAUCGAACAGGAUUAGAUACCCUGGUAGUCCACGCUGUAAACGAUGAUCACUCGUGGUCGGCGAUACACGGCCGGUCACCUAGCGAAAGCGUUAAGUGAUCCACCUGGGGAGUACGAUCGCAAGAUUGAA
rnacentral:rRNA from 1 species